rnacentral:rRNA from 1 species
AACGAACGCUGGCGGCAUGCCUAACACAUGCAAGUCGAACGAGACCUUCGGGUCUAGUGGCGCACGGGUGCGUAACGCGUGGGAACCUGCCCUUAGGUUCGGAAUAACUCCCCGAAAGGGGUGCUAAUACCGGAUAAUGUCUUCGGACCAAAGAUUUAUCGCCUUUGGAUGGGCCCGCGUUGGAUUAGCUAGUUGGUAGGGUAAAAGCCUACCAAGGCGACGAUCCAUAGCUGGUCUGAGAGGAUGAUCAGCCACACUGGGACUGAGACACGGCCCAGACUCCUACGGGAGGCAGCAGUGGGGAAUAUUGGACAAUGGGCGAAAGCCUGAUCCAGCAAUGCCGCGUGAGUGAUGAAGGCCUCAGGGUUGUAAAGCUCUUUUACCCGGGAUGAUAAUGACAGUACCGGGAGAAUAAGCUCCGACUAACUCCGUG